CAGGCUUAACACAUGCAAGUCGAGGGGCAGCAUGGUCUUAGCUUGCUAAGGCCGAUGGCGACCGGCGCACGGGUGAGUAACACGUAUCCAACCUGCCGUCUACUCUUGGACAGCCUUCUGAAAGGAAGAUUAAUACAAGAUGGCAUCAUGAGUCCGCAUGUUCACAUGAUUAAAGGUAUUCCGGUAGACGAUGGGGAUGCGUUCCAUUAGAUAGUAGGCGGGGUAACGGCCCACCUAGUCUUCGAUGGAUAGGGGUUCUGAGAGGAAGGUCCCCCACAUUGGAACUGAGACACGGUCCAAACUCCUACGGGAGGCAGCAGUGAGGAAUAUUGGUCAAUGGGCGAGAGCCUGAACCAGCCAAGUAGCGUGAAGGAUGACUGCCCUAUGGGUUGUAAACUUCUUUUAUAAAGGAAUAAAGUCGGGUAUGGAUACCCGUUUGCAUGUACUUUAUGAAUAAGGAUCGGCUAACUCCGUGCCAGCAGCCGCGGUAAUACGGAGGAUCCGAGCGUUAUCCGGAUUUAUUGGGUUUAAAGGGAGCGUAGAUGGAUGUUUAAGUCAGUUGUGAAAGUUUGCGGCUCAACCGUAAAAUUGCAGUUGAUACUGGAUAUCUUGAGUGCAGUUGAGGCAGGCGGAAUUCGUGGUGUAGCGGUGAAAUGCUUAGAUAUCACGAAGAACUCCGAUUGCGAAGGCAGCCUGCUAAGCUGCAACUGACAUUGAGGCUCGAAAGUGUGGGUAUCAAACAGGAUUAGAUACCCUGGUAGUCCACACGGUAAACGAUGAAUACUCGCUGUUUGCGAUAUACUGCAAGCGGCCAAGCGAAAGCGUUAAGUAUUCCACCUGGGGAGUACGCCGGCAACGGUGAAACUCAAAGGAAUUGACGGGGGCCCGCACAAGCGGAGGAACAUGUGGUUUAAUUCGAUGAUACGCGAGGAACCUUACCCGAGCUUAAAUUGCAGAUGAAUUACGGUGAAAGCCGUAAGCCGCAAGGCAUCUGUGAAGGUGCUGCAUGGUUGUCGUCAGCUCGUGCCGUGAGGUGUCGGCUUAAGUGUCAUAACGAGCGCAACCCUUGUUGUCAGUUACUAACAGGUUCCGCUGAGGACUCUGACAAGACUGCCAUCGUAAGAUGUGAGGAAGGUGGGGAUGACGUCAAAUCAGCACGGCCCUUACGUCCGGGGCUACACACGUGUUACAAUGGGGGGUACAGAGGGCCGCUACCACGCGAGUGGAUGCCAAUCCCCAAAACCUCUCUCAGUUCGGACUGGAGUCUGCAACCCGACUCCACGAAGCUGGAUUCGCUAGUAAUCGCGCAUCAGCCACGGCGCGGUGAAUACGUUCCCGGGCCUUGUACACACCGCCCGUCAAGCCAUGGGAGCCGGGGGUACCUGAAGUGCGUAACCGCGAGGAGCGCCCUAGGGUAAAACUGGUGACUGGGGCUAA
rnacentral:rRNA from 1 species